rnacentral:rRNA from 1 species
AGCGCACUCUAGAGAUAGAGCGUUCCCCUUCGGGGGACAGAGUGACAGGUGGUGCAUGGUUGUCGUCAGCUCGUGUCGUGAGAUGUUGGGUUAAGUCCCGCAACGAGCGCAACCCUUGAUCUUAGUUGCCAGCAUUUAGUUGGGCACUCUAAGGUGACUGCCGGUGACAAACCGGAGGAAGGUGGGGAUGACGUCAAAUCAUCAUGCCCCUUAUGACCUGGGCUACACACGUGCUACAAUGGAUGGUACAAAGGGCUGCAAGACCGCGAGGUCAAGCCAAUCCCAUAAAACCAUUCUCAGUUCGGAUUGUAGGCUGCAACUCGCCUACAUGAAGCUGGAAUCGCUAGUAAUCGCGGAUCAGCAUGCCGCGGUGAAUACGUUCCCGGGCCUUGUACACACCGCCCGUCACACCACGAGAGUUUGUAACACCCGAAGUCGGUGGAGUAACCGUAAGGAGCUAGCCGCCUAAGGUGGGACAGAUGAUUGGGGUGAAGUCGUAAAGGGGAAACCCGUA